AAAUGAAUAGACGGGGGCCCGCACAAGCAGUGGAGUAUGUGGUUUAAUUCGAAGCAACGCGAAGAACCUUACCAGGGCUUGACAUACAGUGGAAUAUGCUAGAGAUAGUAUAGCUCUUCGGAGCCGCUGUACAGGUGGUGCAUGGUUGUCGUCAGCUCGUGUCGUGAGAUGUUGGGUUAAGUCCCGCAACGAGCGCAACCCCUGUUGUUAGUUGCCAGCACGUAAAGGUGGGCACUCUAGCGAGACUGCCGGUGACAAAUCGGAGGAAGGUGGGGACGACGUCAAAUCAUCAUGCCCCUUAUGUCCUGGGCUACACACGUACUACAAUGGCUAUUACAGCAGGAAGCGAAGGAGCAAUCUGGAGCAAAUCCUCAAAAUUAGUCCCAGUUCGGAUUGUGGGCUGCAACUCGCCCACAUGAAGUCGGAAUUGCUAGUAAUGGCAGGUCAGCAUACUGCCGUGAAUACGUUCCCGGGCCUUGUACACACCGCCCGU
rnacentral:rRNA from 1 species